UAAGAAGGGGGCUAGCGUUGUUCGGAAUCACUGGGCGUAAAGCGCACGCAGGCGGAUCGAUAAGUCGGGGGUGAAAGCCCGGGGCUCAACCUCGGAAUUGCCUUCGAUACUGUAGGUCUCGAGUCCGGGAGAGGUGAGUGGAAUUCCUAGUGUAGAGGUGAAAUUCGUAGAUAUUAGGAAGAACACCUGUGGCGAAGGCGGCUCACUGGCCCGGUACUGACGCUCAGGUGCGAAAGCGUGGGGAGCAAACAGG
rnacentral:rRNA from 1 species